rnacentral:misc_RNA from 1 species
GUGAAUCAUCAAAUCUUUGAACGCAAAUUGCACUCCCUUCGGAGAGUAUGCCCGUUUGAGGGUCAGCCUCUAUAAAUCGCCAUAGUUGCUGUUUCGCGGUGGCGAUCGUCGGAAAUUGGGUCAUCUUAUAUACUUUUGAUUUAUGCGACUUCAUAUUUUCUUUUGGUUCCAUGAACGUUUCUAAGAUCUGUUUCUUUACCCGUUUAAGGUCUCGAUUUUUACUAGACGUGACCAUCAUAUCGGAUCGCGUCCAUAAUCUUUCAUUUAUUGACCUCAGGAAGGUAAGA